UGCUGGCAAGAAUGAUGAUACAAUACAAUUUGUGAAGAAUGUGAAUUCUUAUGAACUCUAAAUUAAUUUGCUUAUUGAUAUUCUGACCUGCCAGCA
rfam:Beta vulgaris subsp. vulgaris chromosome 7, whole genome shotgun sequence.